rnacentral:lncRNA from 1 species
UUGACCGCGGCUUGGGCCCGCGCUCGGUGUCCCGGCCAGUACGUGCGCGAAGCCAGCGAGGGCCGGUUCCUCAGUUUUGGAACUAGCAGGGAUUUGGAGGCGCGCUCGGGGGUUGGCCAGGUCCAGCUUUUUGUUGAUGCGGACACGCUCAGGCCACUGUCUCCGGCCUAGCUACAAGCCUCCACCCCAGCGUGGGACUUCACAAUACUCUCCAGAACUUUCGGGCAAAAAUGCCAGGGAGGGGUGACCCGAGUGGUGGGGCUGCGUGCUUUUCCCGUCGCCCACAGCCGAAUGGUGGAGAGCCAGCCCCUGGCUCAGCUUCGCUGGUGACUUUGGUCGCCCCAGCUUCACCACCGGGCUCUGCACGGAGCGGGGCAGCACGCAGCGGGGCUUGGGGCUGUGAACGUCUCCGGUUCUCCCAGUCCGGCUCCUGUGGGCCGGGUGCGCUGGAGCAAAGUCAGGCAAGAGCGGAGAGGCCCCAGGACUAGCCUUGGGGACCUUGCCGCGGAAUGCGGGUUGGCGCCAUAGCCCUGGGCCCCUGGGGACUCAGCCCGGCGCCGCCUGCGUGGUCGCCAGCCCCGGCGCUGUCAGGCGGUGGAGAUGGAGGCUGCGUCCGCGCCUGCCUAGUCCUCCUCCGUGCGCUCAAGUUCCCGCAGCACGCAGGGAUUCCGGGUGUGGGUGGAGGCGCCGGAGAGGCGGAGCUGCGGAAGGUGGAAGGGGGCAGGGGGCCGGCACAGACUCCCACUCCCAGCCUAGGCCUGGGGAGCGCACAGACGGCUGGACCGCGGGCUCCCGGCUGCGCGCAGAGGGCCCCGGGUGGAAGCUGCUCGGUGGACUCCGGUCGUUUCUCUCUCUGCGAAUGCUCGACACUCGGGCAUCUCCUCGGGCCAUCCUUGCUCCCUCCAGGGUGCUCGGCCGUUUUUUCUCUCAGCAGGGAGCUCACCCGCAGCGCCCAGUGGCUGGAGAGUGCGGCUCCCUCCGUAAAGAUUCGCCCUAGUCCGCCCCAGAGGGACUCAGACCGCGUCCUUGAAGUGAGGGGACAGUGGCGCCUGCCCCUCACAGGGGCUUUGGGGAGGGUGAGGGGGUGCAGGCUUGUGCCCUCUUCUAGCACAAAGCGCAGCGCCGGCCUCCAAGGCCUGGGUUGCAGAGUUUAUAGGAAUCCGGAAAAUGUCCCGUGAGCACUGGGAAUGGGCAGUGAAGAAGGAAGGGGAGAUCCCGGACAUGCUAGGGGCUGAGGGCCCCCAAAGAUAUCUAGAAGAAAAGAGUCGCAGCACAGGGCUGCAGCCGCCUGUUGGGGGUGGGGCUUGAACUUUUUACUCGGGAUGAAAUCUGUGAAGUACUUGAAUAGGAAACACCACAGUACCCAGGUGCUGCACUUUGUCCGGGCGAGAUUUCCAUUUAAGUCUCGCCUCAGUCUUAGUUGAUGUCAUUAUUCCUGUUUACAGACAGACAGACAGACAGAGCACAGCAAAGUUGGCUAGCUUGCCCGGAACCACAGAGCUUUAACUAAACAAGCUAAUUAAGACAAAUGAAGAGCACACAGUGUGCAGAAGGAGGGAAUCCCUGCCCUCUGGGAAGGGGGUUCACCUUUUUAAAAAAAACUGGAGAUUGAACCCCAGAACCUUCACACUAAGCCACACACCCCUCCCCUUUAAAUUUUUUUUUUGUACUGGGGAUCGAACUUGGGACCUGGAGCUGUGAGGCAGGCAGUGGAGCCACUGAGCUAAAUCCCUGGCAACCCCCUUUUCAAUUUUGAGGCAAGUUCUCAGUAAGUUGCUAAGUUGCCCAGAGUGGGCUUGAACUUGUGAUCUUCCUGCCAGAUUGCCUCUGACAGUAGGGUAAAGGGGGGGGGCACAGGGAUGAUGCUGGUUGUCUUCGACAGUAUCUGACCCCUUCCAGGUACACUCUGCUUGAACUGAAAAAAGGGGGGGGUUACGACAAACUACAAAGUUCAGCCACCCCUUACCUUCUGUUAACAGCAGGGGCUUGUUCAUGGGCCUUUGUUUAAUUCUGCACCCCAGGCCCCUGGCCCUCCAGACCCAGCACCUCCUGGUGCCCACGAAGCCCGCCCUCUCCAGAGGAGCUCACCAGUGCUCCCCUAACUUCAUGGUCCCUCCGGUCCUUCUCCAUUUGCCAGACUCCUCCAUGUUGCUCAGGGUACGCAGCUCUCACAGUGCAUGGACAGAGGCUGUGUGCUCCUGUCCUGCCUUCCAGCAGACGCUGAGCCCAAGGAUGGAGCAGAGACCUGGAGCCGGUCAGACCCAAAACGCCACCUCCAUGCUGUGUGGCCUUGGGCCAAUUAGUUUCCUCCCCUUGGGCGGGGAUGACAGCGCCUGGCUUUGGGGAGGAAUUAAUGGGACCAGGUCCCCAAGGCUGCUGGCCCGGGGUGGGGACACUCAGGCAUUCAGUGGGCACAGGAGGCAGAGUAGAGUCUUGGGGUCCCAGUAUCUUGGCUGCAGCCAGGUGGAGGGUGCUGGGCUGAGUGCUGAGGGCCACAGGAGGAACUCGGCCGUGGUGCCCCCCGCUGGCUCCCUAGCCCAGCAGGACCAGGGACCCAGGCAGGCUAGAAGGGAGCAUCCAUGUCUGAGCCCCCAGAGAGCUAAGAAGGUUGGGAGUUAAUCUACUCUGUGACCAGACAGUCGAGUGCUGUGACCCCUGGACGGAGGGGGCUUGGGCGCUAUGAUUGCCAGGGCCUGCGUGGUCGGGGUGGGGGACCUGGCAGGCUCUGGGUUUCAUUUCAGGCUGUCACUUUCCCAGCAACCAUCCCCUUCUGACUCCAGAGCUUGGAAAACUUUCGCUCAGCCACAUUUUUCGGCUAAAAGAAAACAGUAGCAUUGUUAGGGAGAAGGGGGGCGGCAGGGUCUCCAGAUGACCCCCAAGAGGGACCUGGCCCCUUCUAGUGUGCCUGGGACACAGGCCCUCCCGACCACCAACCACCGACCACUGGGGGCUUCGUGCUCCUCCCGUGACUUCUGUGAGGCCUUCCUUCCCUGCGGUGGGGAUGGUUCCCCAGAUGGGGUCCCCACCAAACACAUGCUGCCAGUGCACACAGAUGUCCUGGGCCUGCUGGGGGCCAGCACUGACCGAGGCACAUCUGGGCCACCGGGCUGCCCUCUGACCAGCUUGGCAGAGGAACGUGUGUGCAGGUGGCAGCCCCUGAGAGCUGGGCGGCCAGGUCACCUGCAGAAGUGGGGCUGGGCUCACUCCCCGGCCCCCUCCACCCCUGCAAGGGGGCGGUCCCAGAGCUGGGGAGAGGCUGGGCAUGGCCUGGGCUCGCUCUGCUGCCUUUGGGUGAGACCUGGGUAGGAGAGGGCCCAGGGCCCUUAUCUGGUGUGGAGGGCUUGUCCUCCAGAGCUCUUUGCAGGCAGGCCCAGUGCCACUGGCCCCCAGGGUAGUAAAAAGCCGAUUCACAGCCACCCACCUCUGCCCUGGCCUGCACCUCCUCCCGGGAAUCCUCCUUCAGGUAGUGUCGCCUGCUGACCUCACCACUGAGCCUCAGAGCACCCCUCAG